CUGCUCAGAUUGAACGCUGGCGGCAGGCCUAACACAUGCAAGUCGAACGGUAACAGGAAGCAGCUUGCUGCUUCGCUGACGAGUGGCGGACGGGUGAGUAAUGUCUGGGAAACUGCCUGAUGGAGGGGGAUAACUACUGGAAACGGUAGCUAAUACCGCAUAACGUCGCAAGACCAAAGAGGGGGACCUUCGGGCCUCUUGCCAUCGGAUGUGCCCAGAUGGGAUUAGCUAGUAGGUGGGGUAACGGCUCACCUAGGCGACGAUCCCUAGCUGGUCUGAGAGGAUGACCAGCCACACUGGAACUGAGACACGGUCCAGACUCCUACGGGAGGCAGCAGUGGGGAAUAUUGCACAAUGGGCGCAAGCCUGAUGCAGCCAUGCCGCGUGUAUGAAGAAGGCCUUCGGGUUGUAAAGUACUUUCAGCGGGGAGGAAGGGAGUAAAGUUAAUACCUUUGCUCAUUGACGUUACCCGCAGAAGAAGCACCGGCUAACUCCGUGCCAGCAGCCGCGGUAAUACGGAGGGUGCAAGCGUUAAUCGGAAUUACUGGGCGUAAAGCGCACGCAGGCGGUUUGUUAAGUCAGAUGUGAAAUCCCCGGGCUCAACCUGGGAACUGCAUCUGAUACUGGCAAGCUUGAGUCUCGUAGAGGGGGGUAGAAUUCCAGGUGUAGCGGUGAAAUGCGUAGAGAUCUGGAGGAAUACCGGUGGCGAAGGCGG
rnacentral:rRNA from 1 species